UCUGCAGGGUUUGCUUUGAG
rnacentral:miRNA from 3 species